rnacentral:rRNA from 1 species
AUACGGAGGAUGCGAGCGUUAUCCGGAUUUAUUGGGUUUAAAGGGUGCGUAGGCGGGAUAUUAAGUCAGCGGUGAAAGUUUUCGGCUUAACCUUAAAAUUGCCGUUGAAACUGUUAUUCUUGAGUGCAGUAGAGGUAGGCGGAAUUCGUUGUGUAGCGGUGAAAUGCGUAGAUAUAACGAGGAACUCCGAUUGCGUAGGCAGCUUACUAUAUUGCUACUGACGCUGAGGCACGAAAGUGUGGGUAUCAAACAGGAUUAGAUACCCUGGUAGUCCACACAGUAAACGAUGAAUACUAGCUGUUUGCGAUAUAUUGUAAGCGGCCGAGCGAAAGCAUUAAGUAUUCCACCUGGGGAGUACGUCGGCAACGAUGAA